rnacentral:rRNA from 1 species
GAUGAACGCUGGCGGCGUGCCUAACACAUGCAAGUCGAACGGGGCCUGCGCAGCGGAACCCUCCGGGGGGAAGCAGCGCAGUGCCUAGUGGCGGACGGGUGAGUAACGCGUGGGUAACCUGCCCUGUACAGGGGGACAACAGCCGGAAACGGCUGCUAAUACCGCAUAAGCCCGCGGCGCCGCAUGGCGCUGCGGGGAAAACUCCGGUGGUACAGGAUGGGCCCGCGUCUGAUUAGCUAGUUGGCGGGGUAACGGCCCACCAAGGCAGCGAUCAGUAGCCGGCUUGAGAGAGUGGACGGCCACAUUGGGACUGAGACACGGCCCAGACUCCUACGGGAGGCAGCAGUGGGGAAUAUUGCACAAUGGGGGGAACCCUGAUGCAGCAACGCCGCGUGGGUGAAGAAGUAUUUCGGUAUGUAAAGCCCUAUCAGCAGGGAAGAAAAUGACGGUACCUGACUAAGAAGCCCCGGCUAAAUACGUGCCAGCAGCCGCGGUAAUACGUAUGGGGCAAGCGUUAUCCGGAUUUACUGGGUUUAAAGGGUGCGUAGGCGGCGAGUUAAGUCAGCGGUAAAAGCCCGGGGCUCAACCCCGGCCCGCCGUUGAAACUGGCUGGCUUGAGUUGGGGAAAGGCAGGCGGAAUGCGCGGUGUAGCGGUGAAAUGCAUAGAUAUCGCGCAGAACCCCGAUUGCGAAGGCAGCCUGCCGGCCCCACACUGACGCUGAGGCACGAAAGCGUGGGUAUCGAACAGGAUUAGAUACCCUGGUAGUCCACGCAGUAAACGAUGAAUGCUUGCUGUCCGGGGGGAUUUGCCCCUGGGGGGCGCAGCGAAAGCGAUAAGCAUUCCACCUGGGGAGUACGCCGGCAACGGUGAAACUCAAAGGAAUUGACGGGGGCCCGCACAAGCGGAGGAACAUGUGGUUUAAUUCGAUGAUACGCGAGGAACCUUACCCGGGCUCAAACGGGAGACGCCGCAGGCAGAGACGCCUGUUUCCUUAGGGACGUCUUCCGAGGUGCUGCAUGGUUGUCGUCAGCUCGUGCCGUGAGGUGUCGGCUUAAGUGCCAUAACGAGCGCAACCCCCGCGGGCAGUUGCUAACAGGUUAAGCUGAGGACUCUGCCCGGACUGCCGGCGCAAGCCGCGAGGAAGGCGGGGAUGACGUCAAAUCAGCACGGCCCUUACGUCCGGGGCGACACACGUGUUACAAUGGGCGGUACAGCGGGAAGCCAGGCGGCGACGCCGAGCGGAACCCGAAAGCCGUUCUCAGUUCGGAUCGGAGUCUGCAACCCGACUCCGUGAAGCUGGAUUCGCUAGUAAUCGCGCAUCAGCCAUGGCGCGGUGAAUACGUUCCCGGGCCUGUACACACCGCCCGUCAAGCCAUGGGAGCCGGGGGUGCUUGAAGUGCGUCGCCGCGAGGCGCGCCCUAGAGCAAAACCGGUGACUGGGGCU